AGGUAGUGGUAUAUCUUUAUAGGUAGUGGUAUAUCUUUAUAGUUACUGUAGUAAGAUAUACUACUACCUAUAAAGAUAUACUACUACCUAU